CCCGGCCGGUGGCCCGCGCCUCCUGCUUCCCUGGUCUCUCGGGCUCUGCGUCGUGUCUCCGGCAGACCGCCUUCCCGAUUGUUGUUCUCCUGCGGCUGGAGAUCCAGCCGAGCUCUGGGGCCUCAGCAGAUAUCCUAAACAGAGAUCUCAGGAGCCCGAUAUUCUAUAGACCUUACCUCCUCCCGAAGUUGUGGGGGUAGUUGCGUAGAUCAGCUGUGAAUCAGAUGCAGGACAAAGUUUCACUGUUACUAAAGUUCCGCCAUUUCUCCCAGACUGCCUUUGAAGGACUGCAGGUGCUUUGAAUAUCUUAUAUAUUCCAUGAAAGGAAUAUCAGCCUACAUUAAGUUGCUUCCGCUUCUAGAGAAAAGGAAUUUGUGAUAUAAAAAAGAUUCUAACUCCAACUUACCCAGCGGAGGCUUCAGGGACCAUGUGUGUGCCUGGUGCCUACCAAAAUCAGAAGAAGGCAUUGCAUCCCCCUGAAAUUGGAGUUACAGAUGGUUGUGAGCUACCAUGUGGAUGCUAGGAAGUGAACCAAGGUCCUCGGCAAGAGCAGCAAGUGCUCUUAACGGCUGAGCCAACUCUCCAGCCUAAGUACAACUGUCUUUGUUUCUUUUGCAAAAAGUAGGUGGGUUUUAUCUGACCAGUUUUCCUGAUCUGUAUGGACUGGAACUGGCGGGGAGUCAGGGACUGCCAAUUAGCUGAAACUUAUUAAGUGGAUUGAAGGUGAUUGUCUAGACUAAUUGUAUUUAAUUUUGUUUGUACUAAGAACAUGAGUCCCACUGAGGUAGUAUUUGUUUGUUUGUUUGUUUUUAGUUGACAUUUAGACACGUAUCUCUUCCCUAGAGGCCUCCACAAUCUAGUCUGUGGAAUUCCAUUUUUGUGGAAUUCAUGUGUCUAUGAUGAAACACAAAUAUAAGAAUGAAAAGGGACACUUUUAAACAGACCUGUAUCCUCAAAGCGUUUGUCUGUAAUCAUUUAGAACGUGAAGUAAAUGGAGAUUUUUACUAUCUUCUUAAGCUGUCCUUUCGUCUGCUGGCUUUCUUCCUGCUCACUGUAGACUUCUCUUAUGAAAGAACUCUGUGUUAGCUACAUGAAGUGUAAAUGAAAGGUAGUACUGUUUUUAAUGACCAAAGAGAAGACAUAUGCAAGUCUUAAUCAAAGUAUAUGAUGUUAUGGCAUAAUGAUGAUUCUGAAACUGGUGGGGUCAAUGUGUAAUGAACUCAGUAUCCUCCUGUUUCUACCACUCAAGCACUGAGAUUACUGGUAUAUGACACAUGUCCACUUUUAAAAUUAGUUUUCUAACUGGUGCUGAUUAUGUUACUAAUAUUUUGUUGUUCUUAUUCAGAAUCUUUUCCUCUUUGUCGAUGUUACUGAGCAUCACGAAUGAACUUUUUUUGUUGUUGUUGUUUAGUUUUUGAGACAGGUUGAACCUUCUAGCCCAGGCUGACUUCAUAUACCAGAUAGUCCCCUUGCCUCCACCUCUUUAGAUGAUAUUUUAAGUCAGAGCCACCAUGCCCUUCCAUAAAUAAAUUUAAUCCAAGAUAUUAAUGAUCCUAUGGUAUUUAUUAUGCCAAAUAAUUUCUAGGUUUUAAAAAGAUUAGAAUGUCUUUGUAAUGAGUAUUUAUCAGAAUAUUGUACACAUUUUAUAUAAUAUUCUCCCUAUAACAGUGCCCCCUUGAGAUCAAGAGUGCAGAGAUCAGGAGUGUGAGGAUCAGGAGCACAGAGAUCAGGAGUUUGGAGAUCGGGAGUAUGGAGAGAGGUUGUAUGGAGGUCUGGAGUACAGAGAGGAGGAGUACAGAGAUGGUAAGUAUGAAGAUCUGGAGUGUGGAGAUCAGAAGUAUGAUUGAGAUUAAGGAGACAGAGAGUACUGAGAUCAGAUCCAGAGUAUGAGAGAUUGGGAGAACAGAGAUUGGGAGUCCCUGUUGUUCAACUAAGACACUGAUAUGCUUCAUUCCCAAUAAGUCUGAAUAAAUAAUAAGCGAAUGCCAUUUUCAAAGCAAAGUGCACAGAAUGAAAAGACUGGACUAACAGUCUUUAUUCAGCUAACAUUGGGAGAUUUAAUUCCCACCCCAGGCUUCAAUUUCCUCAGCUAAACUGGUUUUAGUUACUUUCUCUUGUCCACUCCUGUAUUUCUAAAUCUGGGUUAAGCAAACAGAGGAAUGGUGGAGAACCAUAGAGACAGAGCAGGCAGAGCCACAGUGAGUAGGGGCCCCUCUGAGCACAAAGCAAGAGUGUUCAAAUCUUUGCUCUGUCCUGGUGCGACUUGAUAUGCUGGGCUGCAUGGAGAGGGGUUCUCCCCUUCUCUGAGGAGUAGGGGAAGGGAGAUAGUGGGGAUAGGGAGGGAGGGAG